rnacentral:rRNA from 1 species
UACGUAGGGUGCAAGCGUUAAUCGGAAUUACUGGGCGUAAAGCGUGCGCAGGCGGUUGUGCAAGACCGAUGUGAAAUCCCCGGGCUUAACCUGGGAAUGGCAUUGGUGACUGCACGGCUAGAGUGUGUCAGAGGGGGGUAGAAUUCCACGUGUAGCAGUGAAAUGCGUAGAGAUGCGGAGGAACACCGAUGGCGAAGGCAGCCUCCUGGGAUAACACUGACGCUCAUGCACGAAAGCGUGGGGAGCAAACAGG